CUCUUCAAAAUUAAAGACGUACGCCAGUCGCCAAUUUAAAGGUGAGGCACGCCGUAGCAAAACCUACAUGCUUAACAAUAAUGUUGCAACAAUCUCUGCUAGUCCGCCCUGCCACGGUCUCCGACCAUCCCCAAGUAACUUCUGUUCUUACCCAGCAGGUUUCAAGAUUGUUGCAGAAAUAAUUCUUCUCCUUUAAUUUCUUGUCUAUCGGCAAAAAUUUCUGCUUACCAGACCGAUGGAGCACAUCGUCCUUGUGCAUUAUAGAGA